rnacentral:lncRNA from 1 species
CUAUAAUUACCUAUGUAAAUAAAUGUAAACACGCUAAGUUUACUUUAUAAUAAAUAUAUAUUUAAAUUCUUUCGAAAGACAAUGUUCAGAUCCGUGUUAACGUUGCUUUUCAUAAAUUGUUGGUUUUAAAAAAAAUAUAAAAAACCGGGUGAUAUAUAUAGACGAAACCGGGUGUUGUGUAGUAAACAACAAUGACGAAACCGGUGUAUUUUAAUUUGACAUGACCCAUUUCUUUCGUUCCAUACACAGAAAUACAAGUAUUGAGAUGCUCAUAAUGACUAGUUUUGCAAUCUUUGUGUCAUAUCUAUCUUCCCGUACCUUUCUUUCCGUACAAUGUGAACAAUUUAACGAGAAAUU